UUACAAAAACGCGCUGCAAAGACCACAACACAACACAUUACAAAAACGCGCUGCAAAUAGACCACAACACAACAGAAGUGUUUCCAGAGGACACUUACAAGUGAUGCACACUUCCGGAUAUGCUUGUUGACGCGGGUUUUGAAUCGGAGUGCUAGUUCUCUUACCGUCAGUGGUGUUGGAAGUGAGAUAAAAUAAGUAAGUGUUUUUGAUUUAUUUUAACAUUGUGACCGCAUGAUUUACUCUAUUGCAGUGAUCACUGUUAAACUAUCGUUAGCCUUUUGUUUGUAAUUAGCCUGCCAAUUCUAAUAACCUGAUAAAAUAAAUACACACGGUUAAUUCAUUGUGAAACCAUAGAUUUGAAGUGGGGUAUUGAGUCAAUGUUCCUGAUGUCUGUCUGUUAUUUACUAUAGUUACUCAUGACUGUCACCAAGUAACGUUCAAGGACGAAAACGAAUUCCAAAGAUGCAGUUUGACAGCAUGAAUAAUAUUUUAUGAUGUAUUCUGACCCAUUCUACAAAGAAAGAACGGACAGCAGAAGACAAUGUAACAUGGUAUCUAAACGUCUUUUUCAGAUCAAAAUGUAUUGUCCUUUCUGUGGCGUCGGAUUGGAUAACUCGCCAAAAUUUUGCCAUUCCUGUGGGCGAGAUAUCGGCUUUAUAAACGAUGCAGCUUCUACAGUAUCUGGGACUGCAGGGACCAGUGAAUGUUCCAUCCCAGCGAAGUCAGCUGUGCAUCAGUUCAUGAGAUACAGAGAACUAAAAGAAAUUGAGAGGAAGACAUUUUCAAAAGCCAAAAAGAAAUCAAUGAAAACAGUCAAGAUUUCUGUUGGGAUGAUGGGCAAGACCAAGCAUGGCUUUAAGCCCAUACGAGGGAAAACUCUACCUCUACAUGUUGAACCUCAGUGUGCCCUCCUUGACCAUUAAUUUGGUAAUUUGAGCUGUACAUUGACGUGACCAGUUUCUUUGUUAAAUCUCCCUGAAAACAAGGUUAAUAAAGGGUAUUCUCAAUUCUA